AUUGAACGCUGGCGGCAUGCUUUACACAUGCAAGUCGAACGGUAACAGGGUGCUUGCACCGCUGACGAGUGGCGAACGGGUGAGUAAUGCGUCGGAACGUGCCGAGUAGUGGGGGAUAACGCAUCGAAAGGUGUGCUAAUACCGCAUACGUACUGAGGUAGAAAGUGGGGGACCUUCGGGCCUCACGCUAUUCGAGCGGCCGACGUCUGAUUAGCUAGUUGGUGAGGUAAAGGCUCACCAAGGAGACGAUCAGGAGCGGGUCUGAGAGGAUGAUCCGCCACACUGGGACUGAGACACGGCCCAGACUCCUACGGGAGGCAGCAGUGGGGAAUUUUGGACAAUGGGCGCAAGCCUGAUCCAGCCAUGCCGCGUGUCUGAAGAAGGCCUUCGGGUUGUAAAGGACUUUUGUCCGGGAGCAAAUACCCAGUGCUAAUAACGCUGGGGGCUGAGAGUACCGGAAGAAUAAGCACCGGCUAACUACGUGCCAGCAGCCGCCGUAAAAC
rnacentral:rRNA from 1 species